UUGAGGAAAAGAACACAGGUGUUGUGAGGGAUGAGGAGAUGAAGUUUAGGGAAGAAGAUGGGGGUUGGGGUUACUCAAGAAGAAAUGGCACCACAACUGGUGCAGAAACAAACCUCACCGGUCAGAGGGAAACGUCCAUGGCGCUUAAUAGUGAAGGUCUUGAGGGUUUGAUCCCGCGUGGGAAACUUCUGCUUACCUCGGAGGAACAUUUUUUCUGACAUUUUGGCCGUUGAUUCUUGUAAAUAUUGCACUUUUCCUUGCACUAUAUCUGUACUUUGGAACAGAAUUUUGUUCACGAUGGACGUGAUCAUCCGGCUC